rnacentral:rRNA from 1 species
GACGAACGCUGGCGGCGUGCUUAACACAUGCAAGUCGAGCGGUAAGGCCCUUUCGGGGGUACACGAGCGGCGAACGGGUGAGUAACACGUGGGUGACCUGCCCUCAGCUCUGGGAUAAGCCUGGGAAACCGGGUCUAAUACCGGAUAUGACUCCAUGACGCAUGUUGUGGGGUGGAAAGCCUUGUGCGGCUGAGGAUGGGCCCGCGGCCUAUCAGCUUGUUGGUGGGGUGAUGGCCUACCAAGGCGACGACGGGUAGCCGGCCCGAGAGGGCGACCGGCCACACUGGGACUGAGACACGGCCCAGACUCCUACGGGAGGCAGCAGUGGGGAAUCUUGCGCAAUGGGCGAAAGCCUGACGCAGCGACGCCGCGUGAGGGAUGACGGCC